UACGGAGGGGGCGAGCGUUAUUCGGAAUUAUUGGGCGUAAAGGGCGCGUAGGCGGCCCGGUAAGUCAAAGGUGAAAUCCCUCGGCUCAACUGAGGAACUGCCUUUGAAACUGUCGGGCUUGAGGCCGGGAGGGGGUAGCGGAAUUCCCGGUGUAGUGGUGAAAUGCGUAGAUAUCGGGAGGAACACCAGUGGCGAAGGCGGCUUCCUGGCCUGUUCUUGACGCUGAGGCGCGAAAGCUAGGGGAGCAAACGGG
rnacentral:rRNA from 1 species